ACGCGUGAGAAUCUAGCUUCAGGUUUGGGACAACCACUGGAAACGGUGGCUAAUACCGAAUGUGCCGGAAGGUGAAAGGCUUGCUGCCUGAAGAUGAGCUCGCGUCUGAUUAGCUAGUAGGUGGGGUAAGAGCCUACCUAGGCGACGAUCAGUAGCUGGUCUGAGAGGAUGAUCAGCCACACUGGGACUGAGACACGGCCCAGACUCCUACGGGAGGCAGCAGUGGGGAAUUUUCCGCAAUGGGCGAAAGCCUGACGGAGCAAUACCGCGUGAGGGAGGAAGGCUCUUGGGUUGUAAACCUCUUUUCUCAGGGAAGAACACAAUGACGGUACCUGAGGAAUCAGCAUCGGCUAACUCCGUGCCAGCAGCCGCGGUAAUACGGAGGAUGCAAGCGUUAUCCGGAAUGAUUGGGCGUAAAGCGUCCGCAGGUGGCUGUGAAAGUCUGCUGUCAAAGAGCGAAGCUCAACUUCGUAAAGGCAGUGGAAACUACACGGCUAGAGUGCGUUCGGGGCAGAGGGAAUUCCUGGUGUAGCGGUGAAAUGCGUAGAGAUCAGGAAGAACACCGGUGGCGAAGGCGCUCUGCUAGGCCGCAACUGACACUGAGGGACGAAAGCUAGGGGAGCGAAUGGGAUUAGAUACCCC
rnacentral:rRNA from 1 species